rnacentral:lncRNA from 1 species
UUGUACUUGAGAUGAAAGUGAAGGCAAUGAAUGGAUAAAAUAUGCUUGCUCUGGUGCCAAUUAGAUAAAAACCAAUUCUUGUAGCUUCUUCUAGCCUUUCGAUGGGCAAGGUAGGCAAGUCACGUGGUUAAAACUGGCAUGUAUGGAAUCAGAAACCAAUCUCGUGAUUGUUGUCCAUAAUAGUUACUUGGUCAGGUGGGAUAUGAUGCCAGUCACCGGCACUUCAAGUCUUCAAUCAUGUAUUUAUUUUUUCUCUUUUGGCAAAAUUUAUUUGCAUUUAUGGAUGAGAGGCUGUAUGAAUUUCUUUUUAAUUGUGUUGUUUUUCCUUAAAUUUCUUUUGGUUGCAGGGGUUCAAGUAGAAACCGUUAUAGCUGUUGGGGUGGAGAUCUCUUAGUGGCCUCCGGGUAUGUUUCUAUUUCUGUUUUUAUGAACUGUAAUAAGAGAAUGGAGGUUCUCAUCCAAAUACUAAUUGCAAGUACUAAUCAAGAAUCCUAUGUUAAUGGAACACUUUCCUCUCAUCCAUACAUAUAUAAACAGUUUCACUGAAAUUAACUAAUGUAAAAAGAAAAAAAAAAUGUUUAAAAUAUGGAAACCAUAAAUUUGACACUAUAAUGUCUUUGAUUAGUAUACGGAGUAUCAUAUAAUUAAGACACAAUAAGGUAUCAUCAGAUAACAUAAUAUAAUUAAGAUACAAUAAGGUAUUAUCAGAUAACAAUAACAUCACACAAUUUGUAAUCGUGGCUCUCUUGCAUCCAAUUGCAAGUCAGCUAGUGGUUUAAUAUGAGGAUGACAAGUUCACAAUUUUUACCUAUUUCUUGACCAAGGGAAGGAUGUUCUAUGAGGUUUUAUCAAAUUAUGAAGUAGGCCUGUUCAUAGAGUAACUCCGCCUGUGUCCUUUUGUUUUGUUGAUGCACAGCCGGUCCCAAGCCCGGAUAAAGGAGGAGGGUUGUAGCGAGUCAAAGAAAUUCUUAUAUUAUUUCAUUAAAUUAGAGGGUAUUAGGAAAUAAUUAGCGAUUUAAUGGAAUUUGAUAAUCCAUUGAUUAAUUCAACUAUUGAAUUGGGAGAAAGGUUGUAAAUUGUAAUGGGUAGCAAAGGUUAAAUUUGGCAGAUGCUACCAUUUGACAUUUGUCGAACAACUCCAAUUGUCCUAACAAUGAGGAGAAUGAUGUUGCCAUCUUUAUUUUUCGGUGUUUGCCAUGCAAGUCGUCUUAUCAUUUUUCGUUUAUUUUUAAAAUUUGUAGUCAAUCUUCGAAGUGUUAUAUAUUCUUACUUCUUUCCUCGUAUUUCCAGCCCCUCCCAAUGGCUAUCCUUAUUAUUAUCUAAAAAUAAAUAGGUUGUUAAUAAUAUUAAUAGGUUGUUUUGAUGUGCUUGGCACUGGAUGUGUUCCUUUGCAAAGAAAGAAAUAAAUAUUAACGGUAAUGGCAUGCAAUAUAAGAUUUUACUGUAAUGAAAUGUAAUAUGAUAUAUAUAACAUUACACUAAACAUACAUGUAAUUAUAAUUUAUUAUAGCCUGAUUCAUAGUCCAGAAGUUAAUAUUUGUUUUUUUUGGUUGUGAAUGUGGAGGAGGGGACAAAACCCAAACGAGGAUUACAAAAGUUGUCUAGGCCAAAAAUCCUAUCAGCAUCUACCAAUUCUAUA